GUGGGGAAUAUUGGACAAUGGGCGAAAGCCUGAUCCAGCCAUGCCGCGUGUGUGAAGAAGGUCUUCGGAUUGUAAAGCACUUUAAGUUGGGAGGAAGGGCAGUAAGUUAAUACCUUGCUGUUUUGACGUUACCGACAGAAUAAGCACCGGCUAACUUCGUGCCAGCAGCCGCGGUAAUACGAAGGGUGCAAGCGUUAAUCGGAAUUACUGGGCGUAAAGCGCGCGUAGGUGGUUUUGUAAGUUGGAGGUGAAAUCCCCGGGCUCAACCUGGGAACUGCCUCAAAAACUGCAUGACUAGAGUACGGUAGAGGGUAGUGGAAUUUCCUGUGUAGCGGUGAAAUGCGUAGAUAUAGGAAGGAACACCAGUGGCGAAGGCGACUACCUGGACUGAUACUGACACUGAGGUGCGAAAGCAUGGGGAGCAAACAGGAUUAGAAACCCGUGUAGUCC
rnacentral:rRNA from 1 species